rnacentral:lncRNA from 1 species
GCCCUUUCCUUUGUCUUUUCCAGAAGGACCAGCAACUUCAUUCUUAACUGAAAACAUUAUAUUUAACGCAAGGAUGAACAACAAGCUUGCUCAGCAAAGAAAUAAGCAGCUAAAUAUAAUGGAACAGAAAUAUUAUAUCAAUGAGGAUUCAAUAAUAAAUACUGAACAAGAUAAUUCUUUAAAAGUGUUGAGUCUAAAAAAUUAGACUUUAAAAUGUUGUAAGGUCAAAUGACCAGUGAACUCUUUACUAGAAUUGAUAGUAAUGAUACUACAAUCCAUGGAUACAUGCAGUUUAUAAAAGCUAUUUUAUAUCCUAGACUCGUAUUUUAGGGGAUCAGCCUAAGUACCCUAUAUUGUGCACAACAUAAUAGUCUAAUGACACUUUACAUGUCCUUCGGAAUCAUAUGUCCGGUACAGUAUGCCCCUAUAAAAGGGUUGUUCGUUCACAACAUUAUACAAGAGUCCGCACCACAACAAAGAUGGUUUGGAGAACUUUAAAUGAGAGUUUCAUGAAUUAUAUCAAUGUAUCUCAACAGUUGUCUAACUGAAUUAAUGGCAUUGACAUACUUUCAAUAUAACUUAUGUAAGAGAGAAGUUCAAUAUACUAUUCUUUUGAAGCUGAUUGGAAUAAAAAGGUUAUUUAACCUUAUAUUAACCAUAAUAGGGAGAGACAAUUCAGAAAUUAAAGAACCUGACUACAACAGAAUACUUGCUCAAUAAAGAGUAAGAGUUAGAAACUUGCCUUCUUUGUAGUCUAUUGUUAGGAUUUCAGCUUAAUUGAAGUGUUCUCACAAAAUCCUACAUAAUUAUUUAUAUUAACAAGCAUUUUAAUCACAUAGCUAAGUUAUAUAGUUUGUAAGCUCACAUAUCACAUAGUUUCAGUGAUCAUGAUUGUAAUUAAAUUCUUAUUUUUGAUACAUUUUUCAAAUAUCUCAUCCAUGUUUUCACAAUAGACAUUUUUCACUUUGAUGAUGUUCGACAUACUUACAACAAGUAAUAUGAAUCAUAUUACAGUUAUUAUUUGCAUUAAUCAAGCAUGUUAGUCAUAUAGUCAAGUCGUAGUUUUAGUGGUCAUGGUCCUCAUGGAUAUAUUUCUUAUAUAUAAUACAUUUUUCAAAUAUCUCAAAACAAUCCCCUUCUAAAUCUUUUUAUAGAAAAUCUUGUUACUUUAAAGUUUUGGAAUCAAACAUGUCCUUAUAAAACAGCUAUAGUUGUUACACAACCACUAUUAAUGCACAACUCAAUUGUUGUGGGCUAUUUAUACAUGCUUACUAUAUUUGGUUGGGUGUGUUUAGAAUCUUUCUUAAUGUAUUGACAGCUCCUUAAUGUUCCUUGAGGCUAACAGUUAUUAAGGUUUGGACAAUAAGGAAUUUACUCAGCUUCAACUGAGUUUUGGCAAGCUUGACACUGCUAUAGCAGUUAUUUAUUCUAAACUGUUGCUACACAUAGGCAGCAGCCUUGCUCAUUUGCACCCUAUCAUGAAUUUUAUUUCAAGUCUUGUAUACAUACUAGUGGUAAACUCAUUUGUUACCUAAGCCCAAUAGCUGGGCAGUCUUUAUAGUCUAACCAUGCUCAACAAGAGUUUAAGAAAGAAACAUUAAUCUUCUCUUGUACAUGUGCACUGCUGUUGUCCUGGACAACAGACUGCUGUUAUCCUGGACAACAGAUCUGCCACCUUGCUCAUGCCAUUUUGGCUUUUUGAUUGAUAAGUUAUACCCAACCUUACUUGUGCCCAAUUAUAUAGGUGGUGCAAAUAGUAUUUUAACCCAUUUUAUUAAAGGGUUAGAUCUAUAUUUUUGGUUAUUUAUAGGCUACUCAUCACAACACUUACAUGAGCAUUGACAUACUCAGUUUUCUUCCUUUGGCUAUAAUUAAGUUUCGUUUCAAACUAGCAUGCUUGUUUACUCUAAUUAUAAACUUAUAUAGCAUACCAAUUUGUUCCAGUUCUUGAUUUUUUUCUAGUAAUUGAUUUUUAAACAAAAUAGUCCACUUGGGACUUUACACAAACACAUAGUGUGCACAGUUUUGUGUUACUAGAUUCAUAGUCAUAGGUUUACAUUAUAACUCAUAUUUUUCCCUUAUUACUCCACAGCCCAAUUAUUUCCUUGUGCUUAAAUUUAGUACAUAAAUAGUGCAAUAUUUAGUCAUCAAAAUAGUCCACAUAAUACCAUGACAGUUAGUAAGGUCACACAAGUAAUGCUAGCAGUCAGUCAACAUAGCAAUAUAGUAUAGCAGUGAAUAUUAAAACUACAACAGUUAGUAAAGCAACACAUAACAAUUCAUAUAAUGCAAUAACAGUUAGUCUAUCAACAAAAGUCCUUCUCACAGUCAUUUAUGCUCAUUCCAGCCACAACAACAAGUAUACUGUCAUAGUCCAUUAAGUAUACCAGUUCUGGGCAUGAUAAUAUAAUUUUACAAUCAUAAAUAACCAACCAUUUUGGUACUCUUUUUCCAGCCACACUGUUUUGCCAUUUAGCAGUUUUAGAUUAGUAUCUUAGGCAUGGUUCAUCACACCAAAAUAGUAGCAAGCACUGAUAUGUAUGCCUUUCUAACACAAAAACAUUUUAUCUACCAUAUAUUCAUGAUUUAAAGCAUCUAGAGGCAAGGUCCUCAAGUUUUAAAUCAAAACAGCCCCUCAAUCUCUUAAUCACAAGGGUUAUAAAAUCAUGCACUUGAUAUAUACUAUAUAUUCAUGAUUUAAAAACUUGUAUACAAGGUAUUAGUACUCAAACAUAGGCUUCCAAAACAGUUUUGAUAAAACUCACCAUUGCAGUUCAUAGUAGUAUAGCACAGCAUACUAUUCCAGUUUAUUAUAAUAACAGUUACACACGCAUAUUUCUUUAGUACUAAAGUUUAAUACAAGGUUCAUAGCUUGCUUUUAAAUUACCUUGAGGUAUUCAACCCUCUUAGUUAAGAAUACAGUACACAUAUGAUAAACAUAUAGCAUAGUAAUUUGUCCCAACUAUUAAUUCUUUCUAGUAAUCGAUCAACACAGUCCAUAUAGAGAGUAUUAUAGAUAUGGUUUAAUACCAUUAUACCAAAACAGCACCAAGUAUUGAAUUUCAUGUGCAAGUACUUGCUAUAUAUUAUAUUUUUCAUAGUUACAUGUGGGUGUAAUACCUUAAGAUUUUUUUUUCUCAAAACAGUCUCUAGUAGGCUUUAGGUUCAUUAGAAUAUCAACAAAACACUUACACAGUUAUGUUUAGACAUUAAAAAUCAAAUAGCCAUACUUAAGGUUUAUGACAGUCAUUUAUAGUAAAGGAGAUUAGUAUCACAGCCAUGGUAGUCAAUAGCAGUCCAUAUUAAUAUAGCCAUAGUAUAGCAGCUCUUUUCUGUUACUUUAGUUUUGUUUUAUCAAAACAUGAUCUUGAAUACUAAUCAACUACUCACAAUUAUGUAAUUUUAACCUUUUAACAUGCUUGAUACUUUAAUAAUAUAUGAUAUCCUUUUCUCUAAAUCACAGUUAGCAUACAAGAUCCUUAAAAUAGUGGCUCAGUCAUAGUUAAACUCAUGUAUGGACUGAUAUACAAUCAAUUAUAAUAAUCUUAUGUGCAUAUAAAACUACCCUCUUAGCACCUUUGUAUCUUUAGUGCUUCAAUAUAUAAUAUUGAUAUAUAAUUAGGCUUGACUGCACUCCCUUUUUAAGACAAUUGUUAUCAACAGUACUCACAAGCAUUUUAUCAAACUCAUAAAGUGCAGUUUAUAUAUACUUACACCUAAUACAUAAAUCUUAGCUUAGUGAUCCCAGCCUUAUGGCUUAAAUAAUAACAACAUAAUGUGCUACAAUACAGUUCCAAAUCACAACAGUACACAUAUCAUAACAAUUAGCACAAUUGUCCCUUAUGUCUAUUCUAGGCCAUUCGGUCAUAACAGAGCACAAGUGACACGAAAAUGGACUGGAAAGAGAAUAGAAAAAGUACCUUUAUAGCUUAGAGGUGGAAAUAGAUUUCUGCCCAAUUUCUUUCUCUUAGCCGAAUUCUUCUAUCUCACUGAUAGUCAGCCCUUCCUCCUUCUUUCUUACUAUUCUAGCGACUUGGGAAGUCAGGAAUAUGACAUGUAGUUAUAUAGCCGAACCUAACUUCUUUUACUGUUAACUGCAUCACCUCUAGUUGGCCCCUAUACAGACAUCAUUUCUGGCCUAACUUCACAGCCACCCUAGCAGACUCUACUUACUAAGCC